CUUCUGUCUGCUCCGUCGUGUCCGGGGCCCCCAACGGCCUACAGCCUCCUUCCUCCACUGAUGCCUCGGGCUGCCUGCGGGCUUGGGCGAUCAUGCGGGAGCUGCUGUGCAUGUUCCCGUGCGGGUGUCCGGGUGGGGGCAGGCUGGUGUGUCACGUGGGUGAGCACCAAGGCCUGGGACCCCCAGGACACCUCCCCCCCGCCCCCCACGGGCUGCUGCGCUCUGCACUCCCAGCGCAACCACGGCGCUCGAGGCCCACUCCAGGCUUGGGCCACCGACAGGUGGGACGGGACCUCACAGGCCUCGAAGUCGUUGGCAGCUGGGCUGUGAGUGACCUGGGACGGGGGUCCCCGUCCUCGACUGCGGCUCAGUGUCUCGUGAGGCUGUGCUCGGCCCGGGGAGCUUCAUCCGGUGCAGGUGGGGCAGGAAGGCCGAGGGCGGUCGUGUCCCUUCCCGCUGCCCCGACGGUGCCAAGGGGUGUUUCUCUGAUCGUCGCUGAGAACGCAGUGACUGUGUCCCUCUGGCGUCUCUGCCUCCAACCUGUCCACACUGAGCCUGCAGGGACUCGGCACUGCCGCUCCGGGCUCCCUCACCCUGGCCUGGGUCCCAGCGGGGUCUCUGCAGCUGGAGUUGGCCUCUCUGCGUCUGCCUCUCUGUCUCUCCUAUCGCGGGGACAAUCCUUUGUCCUGGGAUCUCAUUUGCCUUAUUGGAUCGAAGAAGAAUCGUUAGUUUUUCAGGGUCUCACUUGUUGGGGGGGGCAGUGGUGAUCUUCAAGCUUCUUAUAUGCUGGAUGAAAAACCAAAGUCCAUUUGUUAUUUUUGUAAAUUUUUUACGCUUUGUAAAAUACCUCCUUUUUGUUUUGCUUUCUAAUUGCUUAUUGAUAGUAUGAAACUACAACAGAUUUUGACCUCGUACCCAGUGGCCUUGGCCAACACAUCUAUUCAUUAAAAUAGCUUGUUUGCAGAUUCUUUUGGAUUUUAGACAUCUGCGUCCAUAUUGUCUCAAGUAAUUAUAGUUUUAUUUUUCUUCUUUCCAAUCCUCAUAACUUUUACUUCUUGUUCUUGUCUCUUGACUCGUGCAGGGCCUACGAUGUAAUGUUGGCUUGAACUCGUGAUAGAGGACGUCUUUGGCUCCCUCUGAUUCUGAGAUAGAGACCUCUCAAUAUUCCACCCUUGACUAACAGUGUUAGUCGCAGAGGCCGCUUUUGGGCGGCGGCCUUGAGCAGUGGACAUCUGAGCAAGGCCAGAGGGUCCCCGUGUCCCCGUGGAUGCCAACUGCUCUAGGCCAUUGACCCUCACUGACCAAUGGCUACUUAUGACCAGGCACAGUCCCUAGGAUCACCAGAAAAGAGAACAUCCUGGCCAUUGCCGUACUCCUUCACUCCGCCUGUGACUACAGCCUCUCACCACCGCCACCUGGCAGAGGAUCCUGCCUUUGCUGUCCUGCCCACCAACCCCCUGCGCCAGCCCCCUGCAGUGCCUUCCGGAAACUUCCAUCCCCUGUGCUCUGCCCUGGGUGAAUCCUUUCAUGGCCAGCCGUGCUGCCUGCCUCGGCUGCAUCCAAAACCCCAUGUUUGUGCCCGUUGUUUUCUUUCUUUUUAUUUAUUUUUUAAUUUAAAUUUUAGUUAGUUAACAUACUCUUUAUUUUUAUUUUUUAAAAGAUUUUGUCAGGGCAGCCUGGGUGGCUCAGUGGUUUAGUGCCGCCUUCAGCUCAGAGCGUGAUCCUGGAGACCCAGGAUCAAGUCCCACGUCGGGCUCCCCACAUGGAGCCUGCUUCUCCCUCUGCCUGUGUCUCUGCCUCUCUCUCUCUCUCUGUGCCUCUCAUGAAUAAGUAAAUAUUGAGGAGACACACACACAGAGGCAGAGACACAGGCAGAGGGAGAAGCAGGCUCCCUGUGGGACCCCGGGGUCAUGCCCUGAGCCAGAGGCAGAUGCUCAACCACUGAGCCACCAGGUGUCCCUACUCUUUCUUUUAAAAAUAAAUAUAAAACUAAGGAAAUUCUUUCUAUGCCU
rnacentral:lncRNA from 12 species